UUCCGGUUGAUCCUGCCGGACCCGACUGCUAUUUGGGUGAGGAUAAGCCAUGCGAGUUGAAUGGGAUACCUAAAGUUCCCAUGGCAAACUGCUCAGUAACACAUGAUCAACUUGCCCUAUAGAGAAAAAUAACCUCGGGAAACUGAGGAUAAUAUUUCAUAACUGAAUUGGCUUGGAAAAGUUUUUCAGCGAAAGGGAUAAAAAAAACGGUUUUUAUCUGCUAUAGGAUAGGAUCGUGGUCGAUUAUGGUUGUUGGUGAGGUAAUGGCUCACCAAGCCGAUAAUCGAUAGGGGCCGUGAGAGCGGGAGCCCCGAGAUGGGUACUGAGACAACGACCCAGGCCUUACGAGGCGCAGCAGGCGCGAAACCUCCGCAAUACACGAAAGUGUGACGGGGUUACCCAAAGUGUUCAAUUUUGAACUGUGGUAGGUGAGUAAUGUUCCCUACUAGAAAGGAGAGGGCAAGGCUGGUGCCAGCCGCCGCGGUAAAACCAGCUCUUCAAGUGGUCGGGAUAAUUAUUGGGCUUAAAGUGUCCGUAGCCGGUUUAGUAAGUUCCUGGUAAAAUCGGGUAGCUUAACUAUCUAUAUGCUAGGAAUACUACUAUACUAGAGGGCGGGAGAGGUCUGAGGUACUACAGGGGUAGGGGUGAAAUCUUAUAAUCCUUGUAGGACCACCAGUGGCGAAGGCGUCAGACUGGAACGCGCCUGACGGUGAGGGACGAAAGCCAGGGGAGCGAACCGGAUUAGAUACCCGGGUAGUCCUGGCCGUAAACGAUGCAUACUAUGUGAUGGUACGGCCAUGAGCCGUGUCAGUGCCGUAGGGAAACCGUUAAGUGUGCCGCCUGGGAAGUACGGUCGCAAGGCUAAAACUUAAAGGAAUUGGCGGGGAGCACCACAAGGGUGAAGCCUGCGUUCAUUGGAUUCAACGCCGGAA
rnacentral:rRNA from 1 species